UACGUAGGGACCGAGCGUUGUCCGGAAUCAUUGGGCGUAAAGAGCGUGUAGGCGGCCACUUAAGUCCUGCGUGAAAUCUUGCGGCUCAACCGCAAGCGGUCGUGGGAAACUGGGUGGCUAGAGUGCGGGAGAGGAGAGUGGAAUUCCUGGUGUAGCGGUGGAAUGCACAGAUAUCAGGAAGAACACCCGUGGCGAAGGCGGCUCUCUGGAACGCAACUGACGCUGAGACGCGAAAGCGUGGGGAGCAAACAGG
rnacentral:rRNA from 1 species